AAGGAGGUUAAUAAUUUAAGUAAUUGCUUAAAAUAAUAAUUAUGUUGAUGUAUUAGUCUAAAUUGAUAAAAAAAAAUUUAUUUAUGCACCCCCGUCUAUAGAUCUUACCUCUAAAGAUCAUAUUGAUUAUAGUUGACUUCAAGUUGAUUUCGAGACCGAUAUAUUUAUUUUUAUUAGCAUUAUUAUAAAUAACUUUGAGCAAAUACUUUUAUAACUAUUUAAAUAAUGUUAAAUGUAAUACAAUUUUAUUUUAUUAAUUUUUUGAGUUUAUUUAAUUGUAUAUAUUUUUCUGAUGAUUUACAUAAUAUUUUUAUAAUUUUUUGAAUUUUCUAAUUAGCUUAUUUUACGUAUCGUCCGAUACCAAACCGAUACACCGAGACCGAUACGCCUCGGGACCCUCCGAGUCAAUGACCGAUACCGCGACUUUGAACCAUGCCCAAAUGUUGGGCCAAAUUUUUCGAAAAGAGAUGCUGCGAUGCAUGAUGACAUAUAGUUCGUUUUCUUUCUACAUUUCUUGGAAUUCUGGAAAACGAAUUCCAAUGGCCGCGAUUCACAGUGUACAUCAUCAACAAAUCCGGAGGAUUAAUCUUCUACGAGGAUUAUGGAUCGGCCGUACGGAUGGACACGAAUGACAGCUUGCGAUCGGCGAGUUUAUGGCAUUCGAUGCAUGCGAUUUCUCAGCAUUAUCGCCGACUAGGUUUGCUCAGGGAUCGAACUCCUUGAAGCGGAUGCGGAUGCAUUCGAUCUCCGUUGCUUCCAAUCACUCACUGGUAUGCCUGGAUUUUAAUCUAAUUUGAUUAAAAAAAAUUGAAAUUUGAAGAUUUUGCUUUAUGUUGUGUUGGUUCUCCGUAUGGAUCCCGGGAAAAUGUAGGAAACUGAAGGAAAGAGAAUUCAUAAUUCAACUAAGAUAGUGGAAAUGAUUCUGUAA